GAUGAAGAACGCAGCGAAAUGCGAUAAGUAAUGUGAAUUGCAGAAUUCAGUGAAUCAUCGAAUCUUUGAACGCAUAUUGCGCUCUCUGGUAUUCCGGAGAGCAUGCUUGUUUGAGUAUCAGUAAACACCUCAACUCCCUUUCUUCUUGAAAUGGAGCUGGACUUGAGUGAUCCCAACGCUUUAUUCAUAAAGUGGCGGGUUACUUGAAAUGCAGGUGCAGCUGGACUUUUCUCUGAGCUAUAAGCAUAUCUAUUUAGUCUGCCUCAAAACAGAUUAUUACCUUUGCUGCAGCUAACAUAAAGGAGAUUAGUUCUUGUGCUGACUGAUGCAGGAUUCACAAAGACCGCUUCGGCUGUCUUUGUAAACUCGAUCUCAAAUCAAGUAAGACUACCCGCUGAACUUAAGCAUAUCAAUAAGCGGAGGA
rnacentral:misc_RNA from 1 species